GCCCCUUGGCUGGGGCUGGCCGAUCCCCAGGGACCCGCAGGCCCGAUCCUCCCUCCCUGUAUCCCUGUCUCGUCUCUCGGUGUCUCUGGAUCUCUCUGGGUCUCUGUGGCGAAACCCCAGCUCCUCCUCCGGGCGCCGCUCCUAACAAUGGCCCGAUUCACGCGGUGCCCGCCGGCGCCAUGGCAACGCCCCCACUCCCUCCCUCCCUUCCCCCGCGCGCGGGCAGCGCGUGCCAAGAAGAUGCCAUGGUUACGUCAAAGGGGAGCCGCGAGCCUCGGGCGCGCACUCUUAAAGGAGCCCAGCUCCGCGGGCACGGGCAGCUGGGGAGAAGCUUUGCACACACCGGCCAGCAGAGGGAGCCAGGGACCUGGGGCGGGGGGGGGGGGGGUGAAGAGCGUGGCACAAAGCGGGAGGGGGGGGACCCCAGUCCAGGUUCUGCGCCAACCGGGAGGCAAGCGUGGGUCCCUACCCACGUCACACGUAGAGGCAGGCCUCUUCGUCCGGCUGCGGGCGCGGACAGCACGGCAAGGCGGGGUUACCGAGCGGCAUGGAGUAGAGAGCGAGAGAGCGAGAGAGGAGGAGAGUCGGAGAGGAGAGGGAGCGAGCGAGUGAGCAGGGCGAGCGAGGAGGCAGCCAGAGAGGCGGCGGCGGCGGCGGCAGCGGCAGCUGAGGCGGCGGCGGCGGCGGCGGCGGCUGCAGCAGCGGCGCCGGGCUCCGGGCAGGCUCGCCCAGAGCUGGAGCGCGGCUCCCCCACUGCCCGGCCCAAGCUGAACUGAGCUGAGUCGCGCCUCACCGCGCCAGCCGCGGGCUCCUCGGACAGCGAGCGAUGUACUCCCCGUACUGCCUCACCCAGGUAACCGGGCGCCGCCGCCCCCGCCCCGGGGCUGGGAGGGUGUGUACGCGCGCGCGCGUGGCUCCGUGUGAGGCUGUCUGCGAGUGGGUCCGGCUGCCUCCCGGAGACUGCAUGUCGUGUCAGUCAGUCUGCGCGAGGGUGGUGUGUGCGAGACAGUGUGGAACGGCGGCUGUAGGCGCGCGUGUGCCAGGCUGCGUGUGUGUGUCUGCGAGAGUGUCAGGCUGCGAAUGAGUGUGAGCGUGAGUGUGUGUCAGUGUCAGUGUCAAUGUCGGGCUGGGGGUGGGAGAGCGUGUGGAGGGUGUGACUGCCAGGGGGAGAGGGGCCGGGGAAGCCCUCUCAGCGGGGCCUGGCGCUGCCCGCCUUAGUGCGGGGCUCUGCUCCCCGCUCCCCCACCGCUCCC
rnacentral:lncRNA from 1 species